ACUCCUACGGGAGGCAGCAGUGGGGAAUAUUGCACAAUGGGGGAAACCCUGAUGCAGCCAUGCCGCGUGUGUGAAGAAGGCCUUCGGUUGUAAAGCACUUUCAGUAGGGAGGAAGGUAGUGUAGUUAACACCUGCAUUAUUUGACGUUACCUACAGAAGAAGCACCGGCUAACUCCGUGCCAGCAGCCGCGGUAAUACGGAGGGGUGCGAGCGUUAAUCGGAAUUACUGGGCGUAAAGCGCAUGCAGGCGGCCUGUUAAGUCAGAUGUGAAAGCCCGGGGGCUUAACCUCGGAAUUGCAUUUGAAACUGGCAGGCUAGAGUCUUGUAGAGGGGGUAGAAUUUCAGGUGUAGCGGUGAAAUGCGUAGAGAUCUGAAGGAAUACCAGUGGCGAAGGCGGCCCCCUGGACAAAGACUGACGCUCAGAUGCGAAAGCGUGGGGAGCGAAACAGGAUU
rnacentral:rRNA from 1 species